CCUGGCUACUGAUGAUACCUCCAGUAGAGACCUAUGCCGAAUGGACUGACAUCAUCAUGGAUCUGUGGUCACAAGGAACCUUUGUUGAUACCAGUUUUCUCUGCCCUCCUGUGGGGGCUCCUUACUUUCCUCCUCUUUCUCCCACACUGCCCCAUCUCAGCAGGAAGCAGCCAGAAUGAGUCGACACCCACUCUCAUUUAAUAACAAAGAGGGGGGAAUGUUGGGAGUCACCCCAGCUCCAAAGACUAACUUCCCCAUCUCCCAAGAAGAGCAGUCCAAUGGUGAGCCCUACUGGCUCACAUGAUCCUUACCCACCAAUCAGACUAGCCUUGCUGGCUCUCCUGAUCCUUACCCACCCCAUGCCAACUGUCAAACCAUCCCCAGCUCUAUAAAUAUGCAGAGCUGUUCCUCAAU
rnacentral:lncRNA from 1 species